rnacentral:rRNA from 1 species
CCUACGGGAGGCAGCAGUGGGGAAUAUUGGGCAAUGGGCGCAAGCCUGACCCAGCAACGCCGCGUGAAGGAAGAAGGCUUUCGGGUUGUAAACUUCUUUUAUUGAGGACGAAACAAAUGACGGUACUCAAUGAAUAAGCCACGGCUAACUAAGUGCCAGCAGCCGCGGUAAUACGUAGGUGGCAAGCGGUAUUCGGAUUUAUUGGGUGGAAAGGGCGGGUAGGCGGGAAUUCAAGUCAGAGGUGAAAACUAUGCGCUUAACCCAUAGCCCGCAUUUGAAACUGUAUGUCUUGAGUUAUGGAGAGGCAAUCGGAAUUCCGUGUGUAGCGGUGAAAUGCGUAGAUAUACGGAGGAACACCAGUGGCGAAGGCGGAUUGCUGGACAGUAACUGACGCUGAGGCGCGAAAGCGUGGGGAGCAAACAGGAUUAGAUACCCCAGUAGUC